AUACAGAGGGUGCAAGCGUUAAUCGGAAUUACUGGGCGUAAAGCGCGCGUAGGUGGUUCAGUAAGAUGGAAGUGAAAUCCCCGGGCUUAACCUGGGAACUGCUUUCAUAACUGCUGAGCUAGAGUACGGUAGAGGGUAGUGGAAUUUCCUGUGUAGCGGUGAAAUGCGUAGAUAUAGGAAGGAACACCAGUGGCGAAGGCGACUACCUGGACUGAUACGGACACUGAGGUGCAAAAGCGUGGGGAGCAAACAGGAUUAGAUACCCGGGUAGUCCACGCCGUAAACGAUGUCAACUAGCCGUUGGGAACCUUGAGUUCUUAGUGGCGCAGCUAACGCACUAAGUUGACCGCCUGGGGAGUACGGUCGCAAGAUUAAAACUCAAAUGAAUUGGCGGGG
rnacentral:rRNA from 1 species